GCGUGUCUAUUCCGUCAUUCUCAGCGUGGAGCAGUAGAUUGGGACUCCUUGGAGUAUCCUAGAGCGGCAGGACCAGGACAAAAUUUAACCGACAUGUCGGAGAAAAAUAAACCCGUAGAUUUGGGGCUUUUGGAAGAAGAUGACGAGUUCGAGGAGUUUCCUGCGGAAGACUGGGCUGGUUUAGAUGAAGAUGAAGAUGCACAUGUGUGGGAAGAUAAUUGGGAUGAUGAUAAUGUAGAAGAUGAUUUCUCUAACCAGUUAAGAGCGGAACUGGAAAAGCAUUGCUACAAGAUGGAAACUGCAUAGUUUCUAAUAGCUUCUACAGGUUUUCAGAAAUCGCCGCGGAACUAAGAGAGAAAUUUACUUUUGAAUAACUAACAGUGUCAAAAGUAAAAUGCUAGCUAUCAUAAAUGUCAUACAAUGUUGAUAUAUUAAUGUUAUCUAUUAAUAAAUAAAGAAUUUUUUUUAAAUGUUCAAAUUUCAUGAACUGAAAUUUUGUAUUUAAUAUAUUUUCAGAACAACUAUUAUAUUAGAAGACAAAAUUGAAGUGGAUGCUAAUCCCACAUGCUUUAGCUAUAUAUGUAUUGUUGAAAGUAAAUUUAUUUUCCAUGUUUACUUUCUAGUUGUAGUGCAAUAUAAUUUGCUAUUAAUAUUUUGAUUUAUAACCCAUUUUUGCUGCAAAACAAAGCUGCUGCUUUUAGUGGAAAUGAAGUCAAACAAAACGAUGCUGAAUUAAUAUAUGAAAUUGCUAGUUUUUAUGAUUGAGACAAGAGACAAACAUUUCUUAUUUUGCCAUGCAGUCAUAAUAGUGGGGACUACAUCAAGCAAAGGAACACGAAUAACCUAGUAUUAAUAACCAAAAACACUUAUUUAACAUUGUUCAGUUAAACAUUUCAGAAGAAAUAUUCUGACACUAUAAAUAUAUUUAUAUAUUUUACACUGCUGAAAAAGAAAACAAAUGAUUACUUUAGUAGGUUAGUCAUGAAUUUAUUACUUAAACUCAUGAGUCAUUUUAUAAAUAUAAAGCAAAAGUUGCCAUUGUUUUGAGAACCUAUAAAUGUUUUAAACUUUUUAAUACGUUUCACUAUAUGCAAUUUUAUAUUACAAAUAAUAUAUAAAGUUAUAAACAAUAAAGUAAAAAGGAUUUAAAUGCCACGAUGGCCCUUUAUAAUUUUUUCAAGGAAGUACUCAUGUAGAACAGUGUUCUUAGCCUAUGUAACUUUUAAGAUGUAUGGGCUUCGACUCCCAGAAUUUCCUAACCAGCAUGCUGGGAGUCAAGUCUACACUUCUUAAAGUUGUCAACAUGUAGAAACGUAGAAGAUACAUAGGAAGAUGGAUUGGUUUAUCAUCCAUGAAUGGAAGGAAGGUGAUUUCAAAUUGAAAAUUAAGCUUAACAAAAAUCUUUUUCAGAUAUCCAGAGAAGUGAUAAGUUGUGGUCAUGUAGGUUUAUAUUAUAUGUCCGGCUGUCUCAUCUAUACAUGAAACAAUUGGGUGGGUUUAAUUUCACACAAAUAGCAUACAGCAUUUAAAGUUCACUCCUAUCACUGGUACUUUUAACACAGCCCUCUAAUUGUCUGGCUGACUUCUGCUAUCAGAACCAAGGUGGCAACUUAGAAAACUUUUCUAGCUUAUAAUCAUAUCCAGCACUCUACAAACCAUUCUUUCUUUGAAUCUUUUUAAAAAUUAGAAAAGAGCAGAAUGUCAAUACACUUGAACUAGGAACAUGUAUGACUCAACAAGGAAAGGACUCAUUGAAUUAAAUGUCUACGAAACCUUAAAAUAUCCCCUGCACAAAGGAAUUUUACUUCAGUGGAAGCAUGUCCAAGCAAAUACAUAACUUUUUUUGUAAUAUCUGGCUUAUAUUGAUCCCUCCCUCAUAAAUGUACUAAAAAUUGGUUAUUGCAAAAUAUAAUGACUACAAAGAAGAUUGAUAGAAUCAUGAAGAAUGGUAGAAUCAUUGAAGACUUAAAUUUAAGGCCAUACUUAACCUUUUUACCUGUAUGUAUUGGUACUACAGGUUUCUUUUUUCUUCAUAAUUUUAAAUAACUUACCCAUUGAAAUUAUUAGCUUUGGGUAACACGCAUAUACCAAGUAAUCUUAAAACAUCACAAAUGAUUUAUAAACAUGCAGAUGGGACAUAACAAGAAUAAGAGCUGUUGAUUGAAAAAUAUAUGAAGAGAGCUGAAAUAAUAUGUUGGACAACUAUAAAUUGAAUACAGAAUGCUACAUAGAAGAGGGAAUAAUAAUUUUAAUUUUGUGUAAUGAAGGAAAAGUGUCCCCAAUAAACUGUUCUGGAACCAGUUUUUCUGGUCUUAAUUUUGCAGUGAAAGACAAAUGCCACAAGACUCAAAACUUUUGAUAAUAGAAAAUAUUACAAAUUGCUGUGAAUUGCUUUACUUGUACAGUUCUUGGUAUAUAAGUACAAAUCCAUAAUCGAUGCUAACUGCAAAUCUAUUGAACAUAUAUAUUGGAGAGAAAUUAUAUUGAUGAGCUUGGGAGUAAGUGAUCAAACAAAAUAGACAAUCUUGAGAUUGUUACUACAAUGAAAAGCAAAUACAGAAUUCCUAAAGAUUAAUUUCUUUUUAGUGAUUUAUAUAGGAGAUAAUGUAAACUAAGAUACUAGAGUUGCUUUAUAGAAUGGCAUACUCUAUAUGUAUGGAUGGCAUACAAAUUUAAUAAUAAAUAAAUUCCAAAUAUUAAACUCUCAUUACUUCUUUACUGUGGUGCUAUAUGUACCGUAGUUGGAAUUUUAUAUGUAGUUCUAAUAAACAUUAAAAGAAUAUGAGAAUCCAAAACAUGGGAUACAGUUGAAAUGCACGUGUGGACAAACUUGAAGUUUAUAAAGAAAUGUAAAUCUUGUCUAGAUCACAGAGACUUGGAAGUAUUUUAUUUGAUGUGCAUGUUGCAGUAAAAAUUCUAUACCCGCUUGCACCAUAACUAAAUCAUGAGCGACUAACCCCUGGAGUUUCACAGUCUGAGUCCUGAGUUUCUUUAAAACAGUAAUUCAGUGUCACCCUAUUAUCAAAUAUAAGGCCAGUCUUAAAUACCUUUCGUGGGGCCACCCUGUAAACAGCGAUGGACUGGCCUGCAGUGCUUCCACAAGUGAAAACGGACCUUGGGAGGGCCCGGCUGCAACGG